CCUACGGGAGGCAGCAGUGGGGAAUAUUGGACAAUGGGCGAAAGCCUGAUCCAGCCAUGCCGCGUGUGUGAAGAAGGCCUUCGGGUUGUAAAGCACUUUCAGUGGGGAAGAAAGCCUUGGGGCUAAUACCCUCGAGGAAGGACAUCACCCACAGAAGAAGCACCGGCUAACUCCGUGCCAGUAGCCGCGGUAAUACGGAGGGUGCGAGCGUUAAUCGGAAUUACUGGGCGUAAAGCGCGCGUAGGCGGUCUGAUAAGCCGGUUGUGAAAGCCCCGGGCUCAACCUGGGAACGGCAUCCGGAACUGUCAGGCUAGAGUGCAGGAGAGGAAGGUAGAAUUCCCGGUGUAGCGGUGAAAUGCGUAGAGAUCGGGAGGAAUACCAGUGGCGAAGGCGGCCUUCUGGACUGACACUGACGCUGAGGUGCGAAAGCGUGGGUAGCAAACAGGAUUAGAUACCCCAGUAGUC
rnacentral:rRNA from 1 species